GAUGAAGAACGUAGCGAAAUGCGAUAAGUAAUGUGAAUUGCAGAAUUCAGUGAAUCAUCGAAUCUUUGAACGCACAUUGCGCCCGCCAGUAUUCUGGCGGGCAUGCCUGUUCGAGCGUCAUUACAACCCUCAGGCCCCCGGGCCUGGCGUUGGGGAUCGGCGGAGCCCCCCGUGGGCACACGCCGUCCCCCAAAUGCAGUGGCGGUCCCGCCGCAGCUUCCAUCGCGUAGUAGCUAACACCUCGCAACUGGAGAGCGGCGCGGCCACGCCGUAAAACACCCAACUUCUGAAUGUUGACCUCGAAUCAGGUAGGAAUACCCGCUGAACUUAAGCAUAUCAAUAAGCGGAGGA
rnacentral:misc_RNA from 1 species